rnacentral:rRNA from 1 species
AAAGGAAUAGACGGGACCCCGCACAAGCGGUGGAUCAUGUUGUUUAAUUCGAUGAUACGCGAAGAACCUUACCAGGUCUUGACAUCCCCCGCAAAGCUAUGGAGACAUAGUGGAGGUAUUCGGGGAGACAGGUGGUGCAUGGUUGUCGUCAGCUCGUGUCGUGAGAUGUUGGGUUAAGUCCCGCAACGAGCGCAACCCUUAUUGCUAGUUACCAUCAUUAAGUUGGGGACUCUAGCGAGACUGCCAGUGAUAAACUGGAGGAAGGUGGGGAUGACGUCAAAUCAUCAUGCCCCUUAUGACCUGGGCUACAAACGUGAUACAAUGGCUGGAACAAAGGGAUGCGAAAGAGUGAUCUGGAGCGAAACUCAAAAAUACAGUCUCAGUUCGGAUUGAAGUCUGCAACUCGACUUCAUGAAGUCGGAAUCGCUAGUAAUCGCGGAUCAGAACGCCGCGGUGAAUACGUUCUCGGGGUUUGUACACACCGCCCGU